rnacentral:rRNA from 1 species
GACGAACGCUGGCGGCGUGCUUAACACAUGCAAGUCGAACGGAAAGGCCCUGCUUUUGUGGGGUGCUCGAGUGGCGAACGGGUGAGUAACACGUGAGUAUCCUGCCCUUAUCUUUGGGGUAACUUCAGGAAACUCGGGCUAAUACCCGAUAGGAGCUCCUGCUGCAUGGUGGGGGUUGGAAAGUUUCGGCGGUUGGGGAUGGACUCGCGGCUUAUCCGCCUGUUGGUGGGGUUGGGGAUUACCAAGGCUUUGAAGGGUAGCCGGCCUGAGAGGUUGACCGGCCUCAAUGGGACUGAGGUACGGCGCAGUAGCCAACGUGAGGCAGCAGGGGGAAGUAUUACGCAAUGGGCCGGAGCGUGAUGCAGCAGCGCCGCGUGCGGGAUAACGGCCUUCGAGUUGUAAACCGCUUUGUCCUUUGACGAGGCGUGAGUGACGGUAAUUGGUAAAGAAGCACCGGCUAACUACGUG